UGGUGAUAGCAGUGUGUCAUGCAGCAGAGAUGGUGACAAUUGCUUUAGACUGAAUUUUUAUUCAAAAUCUAGCAAAAUCAAGUACAAAACACUAGGUGUAUUCAAUGUUGAGAGACAGGCACAUGGUCAGGUUAUGAACAAUCAGGAUAUAAGAGAUCAAGGCAGCAAUCACAAUCAAGGUAAACAAUCCAGAAUCAACACAGCAAUCAAUCAAGCAGUGGUAUGGCAGUUGUGAAACAGAGUUGAACAGAUACUUCGCAGUAUAAGUUUGGAGUGUACUUAUAUAGAGGUAGUACUUAUAUGGAGAGGUUUCAAGAGAGGGGCUCAGCCUGAAGUUUCUCUCCAACAUGCGUAACAAUGAAGUGAAUCUGAAAUCUCACAAAACUGGAUAUUUGUUCCAAAUUGGGGUGAAACAUGUGUCAGUUUCAUUGCCAGUGCUAACAACCAUUCAGGACCAGAUGAGAAGCAAAGCCGCAGCCUGCUGCUCAGGCACUAAUGACACCACUGCAUGUUUAAAGAAGCCUGGCUGUCACAUUGACCAAAGAAUGUCGGAUCUCUCAAUUUUCUUGUUUUUCAGUAAAGCAAAUUGGAGAAAGCAGCAGCACUAGAGUUCCUGAUUGACAACUUCUGUAAACAGUACUUUAAACUGGAGUUGCCUGCAUUCAAAACUUAAAUAACGUGUCCUCUGUACUGUGCCAUGUGGACGAGUCCGCUUCCACCUACGUACUUGUUCUAGUAUAGUUUUAUAACUUCUAAUGGCAUUUUUUAAACAAAUGAAAAGCAAGCCUACCAUCAGCCACUUGUCUUUUAACAUAUGGUUUCUGCCCACCACAACACAUUAGCUCUUGAGGUAGAAAAUAAGCCAUUUACAUUGAAUAAAAAUGUUCCUAAUUUUGAAGUAUUUCAUUAGCAUUGCACAAACUGUAUCAUAUGAUUUAACUAACCAGAAUUAGCUGCCUGACAUCUCUUUUAAAGCAACUCCAAAAAAGCUGAUGUGGCUGAUAAUAACGCAGUAUUUGCAUCAUAUGGGAAUUUUUCUAAUUAUCACUUUCCAACUGGGAGAAACCAUUCAUGUCAACCUCAGAGUAGUAAUGUUGCCUGAAACUCAUAUGAUGGAAAACGUCAAAAUUUGUUCAAAAUAUAAUGUGAAGAUAAAAUAAAUGUGUGUAGAUGUGUUUGUUUUCUGUUCAGAAGGUAUUAUGAAUCAAAAAUGAGCUUUCGCCAUUUUAAUACAUGUUGGUUGAUCAUAUUAAUAAUUAAGUAACUUUCAGGCUUAGAACUCUAAAUCACAGUGCAGAUGCAAAAUUAAUCCAUUUACACAAUCAGUUGGAAAGGCCCCCAUCUGCAUAUGUUAAAAGGCAAUUACACAUAAGAGAAAAGAUGUGCUAAUAAAUCAGCAUGCACAUAUUUUACAGACAUCAAGUUUCAUAUGUUUUUACACAGAGCCUCAGUUCUGUUGAAUAUUAGGAAAUGUGCUAAGGUGUAAAAUUAAAACAGUGACAUGCAACAUGCGAAUGCUGACUAAUGGAAAAUAAAAACCCCAAUCACCCUUUUAAAAAUGUAAACAAGGUGCAACACACAAGUCCUUUUAAAUUGGAAUAAAAAGAUGUUUUCCCAUGCUCCUAAAUGCUUCCACAUUACUCUAUAUUAAAGCUAAUUUAUGCCAGCUAGCUAUCAUCAGUUCUCUCAGAAAGUAUUGGAAUGUCAAGGUCAGUUAUUUUAUUUGUGCUUUACACUGAAAUGAUUUGGGUUUCAGAUCAAAAGAUUAAUGCGAGAUAGAUCAGAAUUUCAGUUUUCAUUUCCUUAUAUUUAAAUCUGAUGUGUUUUUUCUUUUUUUGUAAUGCUUUUCCAGGCUUGUUUCACAGCUUAUUUCAAUUGUGGUUUGUUUUGUCUCCUCUUCAGGAGCUGAAAUGCAUGAUCAAUUUGCUUAUAUGAUUGUGGUACCUUCACCCCUGCCCUGUGGAGGUUGUUGGUGAUGGCACUGACUGUUGUUUUUGGGUUUUACUUCACAGGUCUCAAUGUUUCUGUCAUCACCUGUUGUUGUUUUCAUUGGAUGACAUGUUCUAUGUCUGGUUGUUAGUACACCAGUGGUUUCUUUCUUUUCAGGACAUUCCAAACUGUUGUAUUCGCUAUGCUCAAUGCUUGUGCAAUGGCUCAGAUAGAUUUUCCCAGAGACAGCUUUCUGGUCGUCAUGUUGGUUUAUCCUUUUUAACAACAAAUGCAGUCUUCACAGGCAGACCCCUAAACAAUCAAUUUAACAGGGCACACCUGGGCAGCAAGAAACACCUGUCAGUCACAUGUUCCAAUAUUCUUGAUCACUUAAUUAUAAAAAUUGGUGAGUUCAAACAAGGUGCCAUGUUCUACAUUGAUUAACACAUCUAGAUGAAAAUAUGAGGAAAUUGUUCUUUUCUGUUCUGAUCUGUCAUUUCAAAUUCAUCUUUCGAUCUUUUUUUACAUGUCUCCUUCAUUUGUUGUUUCACAGAUGGUCAUAUGAUCAUAUUUAUUUAUUUGGUGGCAUUUAAAUUUAGAUAUAAUGUAACCAUUCAUAUAUUAGUAAAAACAAACAAACAAAAAAAUACUUUAAAAUGAAGCAUGAUAUUGUGGAAUAUGUUUAGUUGAUAUUUUACCAGCCCCUUUUAUCUGCUCGUUUAAUCAUGAUUAUGCUCUUUGAUUGAUUUUUUCUUUCGCCUGUUAAUGGGCUCAGUGUUGACAGUAUAGAGACACCAUUAUAAGACGCCCGUUUGUUCAGAGACUCUAAAGCAUCUGUCGUUUUGCAAUAUAGGAAGUGGAUAUGUGCGGUGGGUGACUAACUACAGAAAUUAUUAGCAGUGAUAAAUUGCAAAGUAAGAGGCAGCAUCUGCCUGUAAAAUCAGAGGCAGGUCUAUCCUGAUGGGCCAAAAAUUAUCAGUCAAGCACAGAGUUGGUUAAAAAAGAAUAGAUAACUUUUUCAGGGGAGGAAAGAGAAAAGCAGACAUAGCCGAUCUGGACAGAAAUAAAAUUCCAGCAAAGCACAAGAUGGAGUUGAAUCCCGUCCAAAUAGAGCUUUAAUAAGGGUUAGUCACUGAUUUAAGGAAAGGUUAAGCCAUGAGUUUUAUGUGCUUAUCAGCUAUUUAAUAGAAAUUAGUGGUUGUUGAAAAGCAAUUAAUUUUGCAAUGCAUUGCAAUGAACUCGGCAUGAAUAACAUAAGUGCGAAUAUUACACCAUAGUGUGAUAUUUUGAUUAAUCAGUGAACUAGGAAGCAGAUUAGAGAGUGAGUGACCAAGCAUAGCUAUUAUAGGAUUUUCACAAACAUAGCUAUUAAAUGCACUGCAUGGGAGAUAUUGCGUCUCAUCAUUUCAGUAGCAAUUACAGAACUGUCAAGACCACCAAAAUCAUCAGAAGUAAUAGCUAAGGCCAUGUUGCUGUUCAUUAAUUUACAUUUCUUGUUGCCUUUCACAGACAGUGGCCGUCGUUAAGUAUGAGAAUGCUGCUGCAACUUGAACACUUACUGCUUCUUACAGUUUCCGUGACAGAUCCUGAGCUUGGAUAUCAUGAAUAGAAAACAUUUAAUUAUACUCUAUUUUGUUCUGCCCCAGCAAGGAUUAUGACAUGAGCUUAAAGGUUGUUCUAACUAAAAAGGCAAUUAUUAGAUUUUUUUUUCACCACAGACAGACUAAUACUAUAGAUUCCUGUUGCCAGAGACUGACUACCUAUAGAGUGAUUUGCCUGUGCUAUGAAAAAAAAUUAAUUGAAAAAUAUCUACAAAUCAGAUUUUCAGGUUAAUAUGUGAGAAAGACUUGUUGUGAUGAACAGAUAACAAAGUAAACAAAUAAACAAAUAAAGCUUAAUAGUGCACAAAUGCACUGGAGCAUUUAAAAAACAAAAAACGAAAACAUAAAUUGUACUUGCUGUUGCCAUCUUUACAGCUAUACCGCUGAGUUGUAGGUAAUUCAAUGGUGAUUUAUCUUUAAAGUUAUUUAGUCUUACAUUAAAAGGAUUAUGUGCAAAAUCACUUUAUUAUGUUGAAAUAAUAAUUUAAAAAAUAAUGAUGUAUGUAAUUUCUUCUAUUCCAUUUAAGUAGAAAUGUACAAUUAGUCAAAAUAAUAUUUUCAAGCAAGGAUUACAUUUUCAUUAAUAUUGUCAUGAUAUUACAGUAUAUCAGACAGAGUGUCAUGUUUUUAAAGUUUAAGGAAUUUCAGUUUGGAGGUGUGCACUUACCUUUUCUAGAAAGGCAUAAUAAGGAAGCAGGGGUAGUUCUAAUAUUCUGAAGUGUCCACAAUAAUAAUACUGUGUAUGUGGUGAAUACAAUGCUAUAUGUAGUGUAUGUUUAUUGGCACAUACGUUAUCAUAAUUAAUCAUGAAUACAGUGCGACUCCCCUCCACAACUUCAUGCCACUUUUGGUGUCAUCACUAUAUACAGUGAUGGUUGGAAUGAUGAGCUGUUGCCAUUUUGUGAGAAAGAUUAGGGCAAGUUACAAAAUGUGUAAAUAAUUAUAGGUCAUUUUUAAAAUAACUUAAUGUACUAUAGCUGUAUGUUCCACGCUUUAAUCAUUUGAACAUUUCAUCAAUCAUAGUUUACAUCAAUUAUAAAUAUAUUUUAAAAAAUGCGUAAGAAAAUAUAUUAAUAUUAAUCAAUGAUAAUAAAAGGUUUAAGAUCAAUAUGAGGAAGCUUAAAGAGUUAUUCAAAUUGCAUAUAAUUUAUAUUUUAGUAAACUGUUCUUUCAAGAUUUCUUCAGUUCCUCUUUAAUAUAAGUAAUCCAUAGCAUGAUACUUAUAAUCCAUAGCAUGAUACAAGAUGUUAGUGUUAUUGUGCAAUAUGAUGGCACUAGAUGGCACUAUUGUAUCAUUUUGAAAUGUAAAGGCAACGAUUUAAAAUGAGAAAUUACAAGUUUCACAUUUAUAUAAAUAUAGUUAUUAUUAAUAUUAUUAUUGUUGUUGUUGUUGUUGUCAAAGAUAUCUCACAAACAAUGAAAUUAAAUGUUUCUCCAUUAAAAUAAAGAUCAAUAAACAGUAAUAAAUUAAACAAAGGCAAUAUUUGGUGUGACGACCCUUUGCUUAAAAAAAAUAAAAAUAAAAAAGGUAGUCUCAUGUAGAAUUAGUGCAGUUUUAUAAGGAAAUGAGCUGUAAGUUUUAUUGAGCACCUUGCAGAACCAGCCACAGUUCUUCUGGAGACUUUAUAUCAUUAUGGUUUUUGUCUGAAAAGUGUCUCUUACCACUCAAUAUGUUGGUUUCUUUAAUGACAUACAGACAGAAAGACACAUACAUUAAGUCUUAUGUUGUCUGCAGAUUCAAAUAAAUAACAUAUAAUAUACAUUAUAAUUUAAUACAUUCUAAUGUAUUAAUUAAGAGUUUUGUUAUUCAGCAGUUAUGUUGGCUUCAAAUCCCGUGGUUUAUGCUGAACUGAAUUCAUGUGGUCAGUUUAAUCCUUUUACUGUCUUUUACUGAUUAAAAUAAAGAGCGACGAUUGAAGCAUGAGAAAUAAUCUGUAAUGCUUUCUGUUAUGCCCAGAUUAAUCCAUCUUUUUUUUUUCUUUUUUACUUCUAAUUAUUUGGUAACAGAGAUUUGUAAAUCUGAUAAAGCCUCAAAGUAAAUAUUAUCCUUAAUUUAUGGCUGUAAAACAUGCCCAAGUGACAUUUAUUUUAUAUUUAUUAUAUUUGCAAUGUAAUGAUUUUUCUGUAAGCGUUUAACUGAAUAAAAAAGCUGCAGUUUUUAAUAAGUAUUUAUAACAUUGUUGUAAAAUGUGAACAUAUAAAACAUGGUAAAAUACAGAGAG
ensembl:lncRNA